CGUGCCCGCACGUGCGUGUCUCGGUCAGUAGCCCUGCGCUUCUCCUUCACUCUCGGCGGUUCAGGAGGCUCUGCCGCAGCCGGGGCCCUCCUGUGACCUGCAUGUACUGGGGGAUUCGCAGGGAGGAUGUCGGGACACCCCGGAAGCUGGGAAAUGAACUCGGUUGCCUUUGAGGAUGUGGCUGUGAACUUCACCCAGGAGGAGUGGGCUUUGUUGGAUCCUUCCCAGAAGAAUCUCUAUAGAGACGUGAUGCAGGAAACCUUCAGGAAUCUGGCUUCCAUAGGAAACAAAGGGGAAGACCAGAGCAUUGAAGAUCAGUACAUUCUACUCUAGUAAGUUUUGGGUCUAUGUAUGUACCUUUCUUUCUCUGCACUCUUGGGGCAA
rnacentral:lncRNA from 10 species